GACAGAGGGUGCAAACGUUGCUCGGAAUCAUUGGGCGUAAAGCGCACGUAGGUGGCCUGUUAAGUCGGGUGUGAAAUCCCUGGGCUCAACCCAGGAAGUGCACUCGAAACUGGCAGGCUUGAGUACUGAAGAGGGUCGCGGAAUUCCCGGUGUAGAGGUGAAAUUCGUAGAUAUCGGGAGGAACACCAGUGGCGAAGGCGGCGACCUGGGCAGAUACUGACACUGAGGUGCGAAAGCGUGGGGAGCAAACAGG
rnacentral:rRNA from 1 species